rnacentral:lncRNA from 1 species
UCUGUCAUCUGGAUGUCCCUUAGAUCCAGCCAUGUGGUGUGGCUUCCUGGAAGCAGAUGCUCUUUCUGCUCUGAUCUGGGGCAUUAUGUGAUUGUUUAUGCAAAGUAUGUGAAGUCCUGUACUGACUGUACUUUAUUUUAUAUUUCUAGGCUGGCCAUCCAGACAGCGCCUCCCAAAGAGCUCUAGGCUUUUGGAGGGAUUAACCAUAGCUGCGGGGUGUUUAGAAGAACAUUAUCCAGUCCUUCAGGCUUAAAGGAGGCGAUGGUGACCCAGAACUCAGGAGAAGAGAGUCCCCAAGGGAGAAAUGCUGGCGGGAAGGACCUCAUUUAUGUGUGCUCAUAUAUCAAACAGGACUUGGAAUUUGAAAGAGAAAUAAAAAAUCCUCUAUGUUAAGAUAAAGAACUUCUGAAGCGUUAAAGCGUAAUAAAAAAUGAAAUUAAUGUGAAGUCAACUUGCCGGGCAAAAACUCUUAUCAGGAGAAUGAGCAGUGAAAUUCCCAGGAAAGAGCCACAGCCGAAAGCAGUCCAUGGCUUGCCAAAAAAGGAGAAUGGACACCAACACACAUACUGCAGCAAUCGCUGCCUGGGGGCUACUGUACAUACUAACACUGUGGACCAGGAUAGCGAUUCAGCGCAUCCAACUUUGAAGGUAAGAAGAAAGGAAAGUCAUCUUCUUAGAUUCCUCAAAGAUACAAGUACCCUUGUUAUCGACACUCGGUGGAUAGAUAUAAGGGCCCAGGAGCUUCUUAGAUCAAUCUGGGACAGAAUAUAUAUUUACCAUCUAACUCUGGGGACAUUCUCAAGAGUAUAAAGAUGUCAGAGCUAAAAAUGGACUCAUCAGCAGGUCUAAAUUUCACUUAGUAUUUCCUGAACAGCCAUGAAAGAAUCUUCGUCUUGCUCUUGCUCUUGCUGUAUGGAUUCUAUAUUCAGGAAAAAGGUAGGAAAUUGAAUGCUGUGAUUUUCAAAUUCUAGUAAGUACUUAGCAAAAUGGAAGCAGGUGUCAGGUUAGUGCUGAUAGGUAAAAGACAUGCUGAGGAUAUUAAGGAGAACAUCUUUGAAACAACUUAUUGUUUAUAUUCAUAGAGAAAAGGAGAGAUGUGGUUUUUAAGAAAUAUUAAGAUGGCGGACAUCCUUCACUUUGACAUUCUUCACUUUAACAUUCUCUAGGUAACCGUGCUGAAUGUCAGUUCAUUAGUAAUUAGAGUGUGGCAUUCCAAGAAUGUCAGGUGAGUGAUUCCACAGUUGGGUAGCUUUAUAUCUCUUCAUCUUUUAUCUUCUUUAUUAUUAUUAUUAUUUUAAAACAGUAUAAUUAGCUCUGUAGGGAGCCAUGUCAGAUGCCCAUGUGUAUAAUACAGAGAGAGAGAAUGCAUUCUAAAAAUUGAUUCUAUUGGUUUUUCUUAUAUUUACUUACCUCAGAUGACACUGGCUUGGAAUUUCACCGACCAUUUGAGAUGCCAAUAACAGUUUUACAAAGUAAAAUUGAAAUACAUGACUAGGUCAUGUCUUAUCAAAUCUUAUAUAGGAAAAUAUACCUGCAAAUCAAACCUUUACAUGCAAGAUAAAGCUAACCCUGAUGGCCUGUGUGGGUUAUCAACAACAACGGUGUUACUUUUGACUCAGUAGUAAGAAAUAGGUCAUUUUUUCUGUGAAUUUACAUUAGCUCCAAUAGCCAGUCUGACUGUGCUUAAUUACUUAGCUAUUAUUGUUUUGCCUGGCCUACCUGCUAUAAUCACUGUCAUACCUGAAGGGCUGUAAGGUACUUUGAUAAUGCCAGACAGAAAAUCUAUCUGAAAAAAAGGAGUAUCUUUCUAGAUCACUUCAGCCAUGGCCUCAUCAACAGUAAAAAUAAACAACUUUUCUCUUCUCUGACAAGAAACCACUGACAAGAAAUUUAUUUGUAAUGAAUUGCACCUGUGCAAGUUUGGCCACUGGCAAAUCUCAGGGGAAAGUUUUCCUGUAGCAAAGUAACAGCUUAUCAUUCAGAAUUUUUCUACAUGAAAGAACAGAAGCAUAGAGAAUGAAAAAGUAACUCCACUUCUAAUAUUUGCAAUGCAAAUUAUGUUUACUUAUAAAUAGUACACAUGAAUGGAAGUAAAUACAGUGCCAAAUUGUUAUUGAAAAUAUAAAUGUUGUCCCACAUAAAAUUACAAUUCUAUGGACUAAAAAACAAUGUAAAUUUCUGUGUGGUCCUGCCACACAGAAUUUCUGUGGUCCUAAGUAAUCCUUAGCAGCUUAGUUAUAACUGAAAACCUGUAGCACCAAGAGGGAUAAUUGUUUUAGAAGUACAGAUAUGAGACUCCAAUUCCAAUCCACCUCCAGGUGACACUUCCUGCACGACUGAAGAAAGGGGAGAAGCCAUGUGUGGUGACACAUACAUGUGAUACAGCACUCUGGGAGGAUGAGGCAGGAGGAUUGCGAAUGUGAGCCUAGCCUGGGCAAGUUAGUGACUUAGCAAGACCCUAUCACUAAAUAAAAAGUAAAAAAAGACUGGAGAUACAGCUCAGUGUAAAUGCCUUAGGUUCAAUCCGCAGUGUUGCAAAAACAGUAAUGACUACCACAACAAAAACCAUGAAAAGCAAAGAAACAAAAACAGCAAAACAACACAGAGCAGAAAGUCAAUUUCAUUUAAAACCACCAGUUGCAUAAGAGAAGCCACAUUGCUUUGUUCACUAUUGCAUCUACAGCAUUCAGAAAAGACUGAUGCAGAACAGGUACCCAAUAAAUAUUAGCUGAGAUGAUAUAAUCUUCCAAAUAGCAUUUGAAGUGAGUAUAAAGUAACUCUGUUUUGCAAAUGAGACAAUCAUUUAACCCAAGGUCACAAAACUACUACAUCUACAAGGAGGACUCAAAACCAGUUCUGUUUUGUAUCUGCUUCCAAACCCAAGCUCUUUUUUCUGCAUCUGAAUCAUAUUUUAGAAAGAUAGCAGAGUUGAAUAAUCUUUGAAUCAAUAAUACUUUGGUAGUACAUGAUUGAAGAUCACACACAUUGUUUCCCAACAGAUCACAACUAUUUUUCAGCUGGGCCUCAAAUAAACAUUCUUUACAGUAAAAAACAAAAUGUACUGUUAUUUCCUGCACCAUAUUAUGAUCUAAAUAAGAAUAAGCAAUAAUGUCAGCAGACAUAACACCUAGUGGUAUAAUGACAGUUACAGAGAGCUGGAAGCAGACUCAGGAAUGAUUUACUGUAUCCCCUCAAAUAUAAAGACUAUUUAAAAUUUAUAGUAUUCUCUGGUAGACAGAGAUCCACGUUGGCUAAACAAAGGGGAGAAAGUCUGGCCAACACCAGGGGCU